GUCUACGGUCAUACCACCCUGAACGUGCCCAAUCCCAUCUGAUCUCGUAAGCUAAGCAGGGUCGGGCCUGGUUAGUACUUGCAUGGGAGACCACCUAGGAAGAACAGGUGUUGUAGGUU
rfam:Pteropus alecto contig16657, whole genome shotgun sequence.